GACGAACGCUGGCGGCGCGCUUAACACAUGCAAGUCGAACGGAAAGGCCUGCUUUCCCUUGUGUGUUGCGGGUACUCGCGUGGCGAACGGGUGAGUAACACGUGAGUGAUCUUCCCCCAACUUUGGUAUAAGCCUGGGAAACUGGGUCUAAUUCCCGAUAGCACUGCAGGGUGGUGCCUGUGGUUGAAAACGAUUUUCUAGUGGUUGGGGCUGAGCUCGCGGCCUAUCAGCUUGUUGGUUGGGUAAUGGCCUACCAAGGCGGCGACGGGUAGCCGGCCUGGGAGGGUGGACGGCCACGUUGGGACUGCGACACGGCCCAGACGCCUACGGGAGGCAGCAGUGGGGAAUAUGGCACAAUGGGCGGAAGCCUGAGGCAGCGACGCUGCGUGGGGGAUGACGGCCUUCGGGUUGUAAACUUCUUUCGACAGAGAGGAAGCCACUUGGUUGGAAGGGUGGUGACGGUAGUGGUAGAAGAAGCACCGGCUAACUACGUG
rnacentral:rRNA from 1 species